AAGCCAGUCGUGGCAACACGUGCUAAUAAGCAGAGACUCAAGCUUCCUACAAGUUUGGACCUUAGUGGGCCGGAUGAUUUGGAACUUGGAGAGCUGAGAAAUAAAAACGGGUGUGAUUUUGCCAGCUGAAGGCAGUUUACAUUCGGAGUUCCGCGGACUCUUCAGAGGCUGUAAAAAUGCCGGAGUCACGAAAGCCUGCAAAGAGCUGUUGCUCUCCUUGCUGCUGCUGCUGCUACUGCCGUCCCUGCCCGUGCUGCAGCUGCUACUCCUGCUGCUGCUGCUGCUGCUUGUUGCUGAUUGUUGCGGUUGCUGGUUGCUGUUUACUGUUUGCUGCCGGCUGGAUUGCUGGAUUGCUGAUUGCCAGUCGGCGAAAUCCUGGCGAUGAAGAUCCAACUUGCCCCAAGAAAGAAGACGACCCUAAGAAGUAGUCUAAUGAUUUCAAUACCCGCUUUCCCCCUCUGACCUUUCUCUCUUACCUUAUGCUGGGGGAUUGGAAGGGUGGCAGAAAAAAGAACCCAAUAAAGUAGCCAAAAGUAAA
ensembl:processed_transcript